AUUUUAUUGACAAAUCUAUCUCAUAACUUUAUUGUUCUUUCAUUUUGUCAUAUCGGUGGGAAAAAAAAACCCCCAGGCUUUGAAAAAUUGGGUUAGGAUUCAAGAGGAACAAGAAAAUUUGUUUUCUGUUUUCGAGUUUUUGGAACUGAUAUAAACCCAUUCUUCAUCCCAUUGGUUUCAUCGUUUAAGGGGUUGGGACUGAAAAGGAGUGAGAGACAUGCCUCCUCAGUCUUCAGGAUGAGACGCAUAUGGCUGUCCUAAAGCGUCAAUUCCCUAAAGACUCUGAAUUCCUAAGAGUAGAGGAAAAAUUUAUUUGCCUUUGCGAUGUAAGAAACUACAAGAUGUUAUAGUUUGUAAUAUUUCGUCUUUAUGAUACUAGCAUAUGUGUAACAUAUCUCACAAAUAAAAUGUGGCAUUUUGGUCCAUUUUUUCUUGAAGUUAUAUCUUGUUUUCUACUUUAGUACUAAUUAAAUUUCAUUUUUGUCAAUUUUAUUGAUGAUCAGUUGUAGUCAUGUGACAAGAGUUAUUACUUGUCUUUUAUGAAUUUGUUUC